UGCGUAGGCGGAAUAUUAAGUCAGUGGUGAAAUCCUGCGGCUCAACCGUAGAACUGCCAUUGAUACUGAUAUUCUUGAAUGUAGUUGAGGUAGGCGGAAUGUGUAAUGUAGCGGUGAAAUGCUUAGAUAUUACACAGAACACCGAUUGCGAAGGCAGCUUACUAAACUAUGAUUGACGCUGAUGCACGAAAGCGUGGGGAGCGAACAGGAUUAGAUACCCUGGUAGUCC
rnacentral:rRNA from 1 species